rnacentral:rRNA from 1 species
GGGCCCGCACAAGCGGUGGAGCAUGUGGUUUAAUUCGAUGCAACGCGCAGAACCUUAUCCAGACCUGGGCAUGUAUAGGAGGAUAUCAGAGAUGGUAUUUUCUUUUCGGAGACCUUUACACAGGUGCGGCAUGGCUGUCGUCAGCUCGUGUCGUGAGAUGUUGGGUUAAGUCCUUGCAACGAGCGCAACUCCUGCUUCUAGUUGCCAUCAAGUUUAGGUUUUUACAUAGAUGUGGAAUACUUUAUAGGGACUGCCGGUGAUAAGCCGGAGGAAGGUGGGGAUGACGUCAAGUCCUC